rnacentral:rRNA from 1 species
UUUAAAUGGCCGCAGUACCUUGACUGUGCUAAGGUAGCAUAAUCAAUUGGCUUCUAAUUAGAGUCUAGAAUGAAAGGAAUUAUGAGGUAAUUCUGUCUUAAAAGAUUUUUUUUUAAUUUAUUUAAAUGAUGAAAAUAUCAUUUUUUUAGAAAAAAGACGAGAAGACCCUUAGAGUUUAAUUUUUUAAUUUUGUUGGGGCGACAAGUAAACAUUUUGAACUUUACUAAUUAAUUUAAUCGAUUUAUAAUAAGAAUAAAAAAACUACCUUAGGGAUAACAGCAUUAUAUUUUUAUAUGAUUGUGACCUC